rnacentral:rRNA from 1 species
CUGUCGUCAGCUCGUGUCGUGAGAUGUUGGGUUAAGUCCCGCAACGAGCGCAACCCUUGUCAUUAGUUGCCAUCAUUAAGUUGGGCACUCUAAUGAGACUGCCGGUGACAAGCCGGAGGAAGGUGGGGAUGACGUCAAGUCCUCAUGGCCCUUAUGACCAGGGCUUCACACGUCAUACAAUGGUCGGUACAGAGGGUAGCCAAGCCGCGAGGCGGAGCCAAUCUCACAAAACCGAUCGUAGUCCGGAUUGCACUCUGCAACUCGAGUGCAUGAAGUCGGAAUCGCUAGUAAUCGCAGGUCAGCAUACUGCGGUGAAUACGUUCCCGGGUCUUGUACACACCGCCCGU